UAUGAAGGGUGCAAGCGUUAAUCGGAAUUACUGGGCGUAAAGGGUGCGUAGGCGGUUGUUUAAGUCUGUCGUGAAAUCCCCGGGCUCAACCUGGGAAUUGCGUUGGAGACUGCAAGGCUGGAGUCUGGCAGAGGGGGGUAGAAUUCCACGUGUAGCAGUGAAAUGCGUAGAGAUGUGGAGGAACACCGAUGGCGAAGGCAGCCCCCUGGGUCAAGACUGACGCUCAUGCACGAAAGCGUGGGGAGCAAACAGG
rnacentral:rRNA from 1 species